UCCUUAUCCUGAAAAAGGAAUGUAACAGCAUGAAUCUUGAAAGAGCCUGCACAAGUGGAACCAAACAAUGACCAGAAAGCCUUUGAGAGACAGAAGAUAAGGGAUCCAAGGCUUACAGGUAAUAGAUAUGCUGGAUUAGAUCUCAGAAUAUUCAGCAUCCCACCGUGUCUCAUGACCAGUUCCAAACCUCCUUUCCUUUCGAUCAAGUGAAACAAUUAACCACAAUCUUUGAAAUCCUGAUAUCUGUAGGACAGAAAUGUCUAUGAAAGAUUUAGGAUUUCUGAUCUCCAGUUGAGUGGAAUGAGGCUGGGAUUUUGUCCCCAAGUGCUAAUAGUGAAAUGCCAUUAACAAAGUAGGUAGUCAUUGUAAAAGCAGUAUGAAUGUGAUAAUCUGGGUCUAGGGAAUGGUCUGGCAUCAAGAGAUCUCUCUUGUUAACCUAUCAAGGAUUCACCAGAAAUAAAGUCAAUAAUUCACAAAUCCUGAGAACA
rnacentral:lncRNA from 12 species